rnacentral:rRNA from 1 species
UACGGAGGAUGCGAGCGUUAUCCGGAUUUAUUGGGUUUAAAGGGUGCGUAGGCAGAUCGUUAAGUCAGUGGUCAAAUUGAGGGGCUCAACCCCUUCCCGCCAUUGAAACUGGCGCUCUUGAGUGGGAGAGAAGUAUGCGGAAUGCGUGGUGUAGCGGUGAAAUGCAUAGAUAUCACGCAGAACCCCGAUUGCGAAGGCAGCAUGCCGGCUUCCGACUGACGCUGAAGCACGAAAGCGUGGGGAUCGAACAGG